ACAGGAGAUUUGCAAGCUUGUGAAAUCCACAUUGAUACCAUUGGGCUGCAGGGUUCCCAAGCAGAAUAUGAGUUGCUGUUCCUGCAACCUUCGGGUGGCGUCAUAAUGGCACUGCAGGAGGCCCAGGUUGGACAUGUCCUCUCGGGAAUGGGAGGGGGAGUUGAAAUGGUUCGUGACUGGGAAGUGCAGUUGUUGAUUGCAAACUGAGCGUAGGUGUUCUGAAAAGCGGUCCCCAAGCCUCUGCAUCGUUUCCCCAAUGUAGAGGAAGCCACAACGGGGACAGCGGAUGUUUUGGAUAUUUCUUAAGCAUUGAUUUUCAUUCAGAGUUGGUUGGAUUUUGCUGAAGCAAUAGACAUAACUCACUAUGACGUAGACAAUGUCAGAGUUAAUGUUUCGCGUCCUGUGACCCUUCCUCAGAUCCCACUCUUCACUGAUGCUGCCAGACCUGCUGAGCUUUUGCAGCAACUUCUGCUUUUGUUGCUGAUUUACAGUGCCCACAGUUUUUUUUGUUUUUUACGACACAGACAAAACUUGAUCUCUGCAGGAAGCAUGAUGCUGCAUUCUCCAACUUCCCUGCCUUUUUGUAAUAUGAUAUUGUCUUUUUAGGACAGAAGUGGCUUUUUUUUGUUUGUUUUAACUUCCGCACAUACUUUCUAUGCAGGUUAAAAGUCUACACCUUUUCAGUUCUCUGCUGCAUAAUGAAGACUUGGAACAAUUUUUUUAUGUAAAGUAGAAAAUCAGUGUGGUUUGUUUUCCAAAAUGUGAUGUCAGCUUUCCUGGAGCAAGUCUGUUUUCCUUCGGAUGAGACGACUUUCAGACAUACUCCCUUUAUUAUGAGAUUUAAUUACGGUAAAAUGAGGAGGAUUUUUAUUCACUGAGACACACAUGACUAUAUGUUUAAAGCAUUGGAAAAUGCGUUCUGUUCGGACUGUCAUGUUAUCUGGUGUUUGUACCAGGCUUUCCGAUUAAAUGCAAGUGAUUAAGGAUGCUAA